rnacentral:pre_miRNA from 1 species
CUCGGGGGAGGGAAGGGGGGUCCUUCAGCCCGGAUUGUGAGAGGGCGCAGGCCAGGCUGAGGGACCCCACCGGUGCAGG